rnacentral:lncRNA from 1 species
GCGGAGGAGGAGACGGAGACGGCGGCGGCGGCGGCGGCGGGGUCGUCGGCGCCGGUGUUGAAGGAGGAGUACAUGCAGAUCUCCCGCUCGCUGCGGGGGAACGACCAGUAGACGAUCCUGCGCUGCACCGGCUCCGGGAUGCGCUCGAAGCGCUCCUCCACCCGCUGGAACGGCCACUUCUCCGCCACCCUGCGCGCCGCGAUGUCCAGCAGCGACUCGGGGCUCUGCGUCUUGCCCAGCGGCAGCAGCCCCAGCGCGGCGGCGGCGGACGAGGAGGACGAGAAGGCGGCGGCGGCUGCCGACGAAGGCCCGGCGCACAGCGCCCCGCCGCCGGGCCCCCCGCCGCCGCCCGCCCGCUGCCCCGGCCGGCAGCCCGGCCCGUAGCCGGGUCUGCAGCACAGGCGCUUGGCGGGGGGAGGGAGCUGUCCGCGCUCCGCCAUGAUCGCGCCGCUUCUAAGCGGGCGGCGGAAGUGGCGGUAGCCUAUAACCGGCACCGGGCGGACGGCCGCCGCCGCCGCAGGACACGCCCCCUCCUGCCCUUAUAUGGUGCGCGGGGGGCGUGGCCAGCGCCUCGCCCACGGGAGGGAGGGAGGGGAGGGAGGGGGGAGAGGCGGGCGCGCGCCCCCCCCCCCCCCACACACACAAGCCGGGGGGGGCGCCCCCCCCGGCCGCCCCCCCGGCGGGGGGGGAAAAGGGGGGCGGCCCCCCCCCCCCCCCCCCCCCCCCCCCCCCUCAACCCGGUCACCUCUGCGGGGGUGGUGCGCGCAGUAGGAGCAAUACGGUAAGGGAGCGGGAGGCGCACUCGCGGCGUUACGGUAGCGGCGGCGGGGCCGCGCCCCGGCCGUAAGAUGGCGGCGCCGGGCGGCCCGCGAGCAGCCCCCGGCCGCCGGGCGGGCACCGCGGCUGCCCCCCGAGCCUCGGCGCGGCGCCUGGGAGCGGCGGCGGACCCGCAUCGCUAGGUACCGACCCCCCGCACCCCCCCGUGUUGUUUGUUGUGGUUUAAUUUGCCCUCACGCUGCUCCCCGGUGUGGCUCCCGCCGAGCCCCCCA